rnacentral:rRNA from 1 species
GCUGGCAGCUAGCCCUCUCUGCAACUCUCACAUGGCUGCCCACUAAAGCUAAGCAGGGUUACACCUGGUCUGUACCUGGAUGGGAGACCACAUGGGAAAUCUAAGUUGCUGUCAGAA